GAUGAACGCUGGCGGCGUGCCUAAUACAUGCAAGUCGAGCGAACGGACGAGAAGCUUGCUUCUCUGAUGUUAGCGGCGGACGGGUGAGUAACACGUGGAUAACCUACCUAUAAGACUGGGAUAACUUCGGGAAACCGGAGCUAAUACCGGAUGAUAUUUUGAACCGCAUGGUUCAAAAGUGAAAGACGGUCUUGCUGUCACUUAUAGAUGGAUCCGCGCUGCAUUAGCUAGUUGGUAAGGUAACGGCUUACCAAGGCAACGAUGCAUAGCCGACCUGAGAGGGUGAUCGGCCACACGGGAGCUGAGACGCGGUCCAGACUCCUGCGGGAGGCAGCAGUAGGGAAUCUUCCGCAAUGGGCGAAAGCCUGACGGAGCAACGCCGCGUGAGUGAUGAAGGUCUUCGGAUCGUAAAACUCUGUUAUUAGGGAAGAACAUAUGUGUAAGUAACUGUGCACAUCUUGACGGUACCUAAUCAGAAAGCCACGGCUAACUACGCG
rnacentral:rRNA from 1 species